UACGUAGGGUGCAAGCGUUGUCCGGAAUUAUUGGGCGUAAAGAGCUCGUAGGCGGUUCGUCGCGUCGGCUGUGAAAACCCGGAGCUCAACUCCGGGCCUGCAGUCGAUACGGGCGGGCUUGAGUGUUGUAGGGGAGACUGGAAUUCCUGGUGUAGCGGUGAAAUGCGCAGAUAUCAGGAGGAACACCGGUGGCGAAGGCGGGUCUCUGGGCCGCUACUGACGCUGAGGAGCGAAAGCGUGGGGAGCGAACAGG
rnacentral:rRNA from 1 species